GCGAUCUUAAGCAGAUCCCUAAAAAGUUAGUCUUAGUUCGGAUUGCAGGCUGCAACUCGCCUGCAUGAAGUCGGAAUCGCUAGUAAUCGCGAAUCAGAAUGUCGCGGUGAAUACGUUCCCGGGCCUUGUACACACCGCCCGUCACACCACGAGAGUUGGUAACACCCAAAGUCGGUGGCCUAACGCAAGAGGGAGCCGCCUAAGGUGGGACUAGUAAUUGGGGUGAAGUCGUAACAAGGUACC
rnacentral:rRNA from 1 species